GACGAACGCUGGCGGCGUGCUUAACACAUGCAAGUCGAGCGGUAAGGCUCCUUCGGGAGUACACGAGCGGCGAACGGGUGAGUAACACGUGAGCAACCUACCCUUCUCAUCGGAAUAAGCGUUGGAAACGACGUCUAAUGCCGAAUAUGACCUUCUUUCUCAUGAUCGAAGGUGGAAAGCUCCGGCGGAGAAGGAUGGGCUCGCGGCCUAUCAGCUAGUUGGUGAGGUAAUGGCUCACCAAGGCGACGACGGGUAGCCGGCCUGAGAGGGUGACCGGCCACACUGGGACUGAGACACGGCCCAGACUCCUACGGGAGGCAGCAGUGGGGAAUAUUGGACAAUGGGCGAAAGCCUGAUCCAGCAACGCCGCGUGAGGGAUGACGGCCUUCGGGUUGUAAACCUCUUUCAACAGGGACGAAGCGAAAGUGACGGUACCUGCAGAAGAAGGACCGGCCAACUACGUGCCAGCAGCCGCGGUAACAC
rnacentral:rRNA from 1 species